UUCAUUCUCAUUCUCCCUCCUCACGACUCAACAAGUGGCGUCCAUCGCCGUGCGACGCUCGCUCUCUCUCUCUCCUCGUCGGUGAUAUCCGCGUCCAACAAAAUCCGCAACGGAGUCCUCCAGAAAAGGCGUCCGCAUCCCUAUUUAUUACGAACCCCCGUGACCCUGGCGACUUUGACUUCUCUGCGACCUCACAUUCGCUCGCCGAUCCUCCCUCCCUAACUGCACCGACGCCGGCUUUGCCACAAUCCCAAGCCAGCCGUCGAGACAGUGAGGCCGGUAAGAGGGGCGAGUCUAAUCAUCACCUUCCGAAUCUUGGCUUUCACUGAGACCAGUGGAGGAGGGAGGAGGGAGGAGGAGGAGGAGGAAGAGAGAGAAGCCGUUGUCCUGUUCGCUAGGGAGAUUUGUAGUGAAUUAGUAGGGGGUGGCGUGGGGACGACAGCUUGUUGGAUGCUUCUGCUCUCAUCUUUAUCUUUUUCCGUUUAGAAUCAAUCUACUUCUCCGUUUUCAAGCCCAUUAGUCGAUUUGGUUCUUGGAAGCCAAGGCGUAGGCGUUGGAUCCAAAUCUCUCGUCUUAUUCUUCAUUCUUCUCCACUUCGCCAUCCGAUAACCAAGGGUAGAAUCGAAGUGUGAUGAUGGAUAGCCUGCCGGCCACCCCGGGCAAGUUCAAGAUGGACAAGCCCCAGUAUCACUAUCACCACCACCACCACCCGCGUCAGCUCACCGUCCGGUGGCAACACUACCCGCUCGUCUCCAAGGUCGCAGUCUGGUCUUUCCUCGCCAUCGCCCUCCUAGUCGCCUUCUUCUUCCUCUCACCCACCACCCCCAACUCCUCCUCCACCUCUGGGCGUCGCUCCCUCCGUAACGCCGCCCCGUGGGGCGGCCCCGCCUGGGAGAAGUGCGUGCGCUCCUCCGCCCGCGUCCGCCGCUCCGGCGGCAUCUCCGUCCUCGUCACUGGCGCCGCCGGCUUCGUGGGUACCCACGUCUCUACCGCGCUCAAGCGCCGCGGCGACGGCGUCCUUGGGCUCGACAACUUCAACGACUACUACGACCCCUCCCUCAAGCGCGCCCGCCAGGCCCUCCUCGACCGCGCGGGUGUCUUCGUCGUCGAGGGCGACGUCAACGACGGCCCUCUCCUCCACAAGCUGUUCGACGUGGUGCCCUUCACCCAUGUGAUGCACCUGGCCGCGCAGGCCGGCGUCCGUUACGCCAUGACCAAUCCGUCCUCCUACGUCCACUCCAAUGUCGCCGGGCUCGUGUCGGUGCUCGAGGUCGCCAAGUCAGCGGACCCGCAGCCCGCCGUUGUUUGGGCUUCGUCGUCUUCCGUCUACGGCCUCAACUCCCACGUGCCCUUCUCGGAGGUUGACCGCACUGACCGGCCGGCCUCCCUCUACGCCGCCACCAAGAAGGCAGGCGAGGAAAUCGCCCAUGUCUACAACCACAUUUAUGGACUCGCCAUCACCGGCCUCCGCUUCUUCACUGUCUACGGCCCCUGGGGGCGCCCCGACAUGGCCUACUUCUUCUUCACGAGAGACAUCCUCCGCAGCAAGCCGAUUUCCAUCUUUGAAGGCCCAGGUCAUGCCACCGUUGCCCGUGAUUUUACCUACAUUGAUGACAUCGUGAGCGGUUGUCUUGCGGCUCUCGACAAUGCUGGGAAGAGCACCGGUAGCGGCGGCAAGAAGCGGGGGUCUGCGCCGCUCCGCGUCUACAACCUCGGCAAUACGUCCCCAGUCCCCGUGUCUCAUCUCGUGUCUAUCCUGGAGCAACUCUUAAAGGUCAAGGCCGUCCGCAAUGUCGUCAAAAUGCCACGGAAUGGGGAUGUACAGUUUACUCAUGCCAACAUCAGCCUUGCGCAGCGGGAGCUCGGGUAUCAUCCGACCACCGGUCUGAACACUGGCCUCAAGAAGUUCGUCCGGUGGUACCUUGGGUACUACCCUACUUCCUCGAGUAAAAAGGGAUCAAGAGGUGGCAGCAGCAGUGCUCUCUAGCCAGGGAAGGAUGUUGGUGGCAGUUGGUGAUAUUUUCUGCUACUUCCUCAGAUCAUUCAGUCAGAUUCCAAGGCAAGCUAUCAGUCAGAAUUUUCCACUGUGUCCAUCUUUUCUCAUACAAGUCUACUUCAAUACAAGUCACUUUAAGAGCUUGAUAGCUGAAUAAUUUAUGGAUAUCAGAUCAUUCAGUCAGAUUCCAAGUUAAGCUAUCAGUCAGAAUUUUCCACUGUGUCCAUCUUUUCUCAUACAAGUCUACUUCAAGACAAGUCACUUUAAG